CAGCUCUCCUGGGCAGGAAGGCUAAUUAGGCCCCCAGCCACUUCUAGCUGCUCCCAAUUCAGCCUCUGGGGCCAAAAGAAAGAAAUUAGACACCUUCUUCAGGACGCUGCUUCAUCUGGUAGAAGUCAGAGAUUAUUAUGAGCGUCUCCCCACAUCUCAGAAGACACUGCCUAUAAUGAUUGCUGCUGUAGUCCUGGUGGUCUUCACUGGUUCCCUCAUGGUGACUUGUUUCUUCCGCAAAACAAAACUCCAGAAAACCAGAGGAAAAGUGCCAUGCCACCAUUAUGAGUGCACAUGCUCCCACCAUGACAAACCUUGUUGAGGUCAAAGAAAAAUUUGAUGAAGACUUGGGUACCCUCAUCAUCAGUGUGCUGAAAGAAGACAAGCUUAUAAUUCUGAGUGACUUCAAUGCUAGAAUAGGCACAGACAUCACAAGGAUUCCUUGGGACAAUGGAGUUGAAAAGAGCAACAGCUAUGGUCACUUUCUACAGAAGACUUGUGCAUCUUAUGACCUUCUCAGGAAAGGUCAUUCUCCUCUCUCCUAACUCUCAAAACUUAUCUUCCUCACAACUCAGAAAGCCCCUAAUCUUUCUUCCAGUUAGAAAUCAGAUAAUCUAAUCUUGUAUCUUGAUUUAUAUCCUGUUAAUUGUUGUCUUUUAAUGCAUAAAAAAUCAGUUCCCUCAAGUACUAAGGGUCCAAGACCAACCCUGAGGAAGCCUGGUCCUGAUUUGUUAU